rnacentral:tRNA from 2 species
GGGGCUGUAGCUCAGCUGGGAGAGUGCUUGACUGGCAGUCAAGAGGUCGGGGGUUCAAAUCCCCUCAGCUCCACCA